rnacentral:rRNA from 1 species
AUGCGGGCGGCCAUCCGGGACUACCACAGCCUUCAAGCGGCCGCCUUCAACUCCCAGGCCCGGGAGCUGACUCAGAAGACCGCCGACCUUACUGAGAGCCGAGCGGCCAACGCCAGUCUGAGGGCACAGCUGGGGGAGUCCCAGACUGCUCUUCGUGCCAAGGAUGCCGAGCUCGCCGCCUUGGUGCAAGAGCGCGACCGCCUGGUCAAGAAGCUGGCCGACCAGGAGGAAGGCCACAAGGCGGCGCUGAAGGCUGUGCAGGAUCGUGAAGCCACUCUCCAGGCCGAGUUCGAGACGGAGGCGGCUGGCUGGGCUGAGGCCAGGCAGACUCUGGUCUCUGGCUACGGCCAGAUCGAAGAUCUGGUUGACGAGUAUUUCCCUGGCUAUUCGACUGCCGCCAACCAGGCCAUCGAGGCCCGUCGCCAAGCGCGAAGGCAGGCCGGCUUUGAGAUCUCGCCAACCGCCGGCCGCUCGCUGGAGGAACAGCUCCUGGCGAUCCAAGCUCGUAUCCAGCCGGCUCACCGGCUGCUCCGCCGGCUUCAGCGUGCCGGGGCGCAGGUCUUGGCCGCCCUCUGGCCCGGCCAAGUGGUCCCUCGCACCCCCAGUCGGACCGCCGACUGGCUGGAGGUGGCAGUCGGCCGCUUCGAAGCUUGGAAGGCGUCGGCGGCUCGCUCCGGUGCCAGGCGGGCGCUAGAGUUCGUCAAGGCCUGGUAUCCCGGCCUAAGCCUGGACCAGCUGGCUACCUGGCGGCAGCAAGCCGACACGGAGCUGGAGCCGGCGCGGCCGGCCAUCAUUCGGCGGGCUUCGGCGAUCGCCGACUACACCGACACCAGCGUCUUCGCCCCCGAGGUGGACGACAAUGGAGUCGCCCAGCCGGAAGAGUGGUUCGGGCUGGACCCGGAGUACGGUGAGGACUCGGCGGAGGAGAUCGACUCCAGCGACGAGGGCGAAGAAGAGGAGGAGGAGGAGGGUGAAGACGCCGAGCCGGCUGGUGGAGUAGCCGGCCAGCCUUAG